GUGACUGAAAAAUGGGGUGAAGUAAGGAUUCUAGAUAAUAAAAAAGCUACAUUAAUUUCUAGAUGUUCUGUGGAGCAGUUAGUGAUGCUAACUGCUAGAAACUGUAGGCAAUGAUAAACUAUGCUGCUUGCUAAAAUGUUUAUGUAAUUCUGAAACUUGGUUUGUAACCAGAAUUCUGGGGUCUGUCUUCAUCCUGCCAAACAUCCUCAAGUGGGAUAAGCAGUGGCAAAUGUCAGUCCAAAAGCCCUGUAGGUCCUUGACGGUGUGCACAGCUGUGUGUGAGUGGCUGUGACAGAAAUAUCUGGGAUAGCCAAGAGGAAUGAAAGAGGGAAGUAAUUGAUUCCACACCGAUGAUUCAACAACUGCUGCUGUUUAUUCUUGACUCUGUUCCUAAGACUUCAUGUAACAAUAAAGCUCUAAAAUAACACUGUAGUCAGUCCUCAUUCUGAAGGAACCAUGAGAAGAACAUUCUUGGCCCCAUGGAGUCAGGUGAGGGCAGUCCUGAAAAACUCCUAAGUUUAAUUCUUAACAGAAUUAACAGAAAUCUUUUUUCUUAACAGAAAAACUGUCAAGAAUUACGUUCUGAAAGUCUCACAGCUGCAUGCACCCAUCUGCAGGAGUGCUUCAGGGAACUAUGGCAUCAGGAGGCAGUAUGGACAACAUGGUGGCCAAUCUCCUAUGGUACACCCUCGAGCAUCUAGGGAUGUGUGCCUUCUCAAAAUCCAAGAGGGACCUCAGGAGGAUCCAGCCCAAAGAUGGGUACAAACACUGAGCUGGAGAGCAAGGUGGGGCUGUCAGCAGCUGCACUGGCCAGCCUACUGUACAGCCACUAUGGGCAGCCCCACAGCAUGGAGGUGUCAGCACACAUAGUGAAGAGCAUGGGCUGGAUGUGCCGGGAUGAUAUGCUCCUGGAGAAGCUGAAGAAAGAUCCCCUGGUACCAGGUGACAUCCCAUCUCCUUGCCCUACAGAAGCACAAGAUGAGUUCUGGGCUGCUCGACACUCAUACCCUUUGCUGAACGAUGUCAUGCUCUCCACGUCCCUUCCUGUCCCUCUAGAUGUAUCCUUCCAAAAGCAGGGCUUGGGCUCUCCACCUUUUCCAUCUGCAUCCAGCGCAGGGACCUGACUCCAGUAGAGCUGUUCAGGUUAAGAAAGACAGAAAUACUUCUGAUAGAAGUAUUAUCACGUCCAGUAAGACAGAAGUACAUCCACAUGGAAGCCAAGUGAAGCAUGGGGCAGAGGGUUACCCAGAGAUCAGCCAAGAUCAAUCCAAAUUCCAGGCAGUCAUGAUGCCAAAGGAUCUGGACAGUUCUUGGCCUUUUGUUCCUUUCUUUGCACUGAUGAUGCCAGGAUAACAAUGGAAACACAGGGAGAACAGAAAGAGACCAUUGUAGCUCCUGGGGCAUGAGGGAGGUGGGUGCUCACUCCAUGUUACUUUAUAGCUUCAUCCUGGGGCACGACCACAAAAUGGAGAGAAUCAAUAAGGAAGAUGUUUACCUUCACAAUGCCUGUACAUCCAGAAUACAAGCAUUUUGCUGUGAAAAGCAGCAGCAAAACACUCUCACAGGUGCCAAAUGCAUGGCAUGCUCUUGGCAAGAGAUAAGGUGCUGAGCUACCCUGCUUGUUUCAGAGUGUUCUUCCAGGCCACACUCACACACAUCCAUCUCUGGUGUUUCCUCACCAGGGAUUCGGGGCCUGAAGCACUUCUCCCCUGGAUUAUAGAGAAAGGUUCUAGAAGCUUCUCUGAGCUUCUUCAAAAGCCUGGGAAAAGCAUGGGACCCAUGCAGGGCUCUUGGUGGCCCUGCAUGACACUUUGGACCAGAUCAUACUAUCUCAGAAUCAUUUAGGUGGGAAAAAAUCUCUAUGCUCAUCAGGUCUAACCAUUAACCUACACCUGCCAAAACAUAAAAUCAUAGUAUCAGUUGUAGACUGAUGAAUUCAUAGAGUCACAGAAUCAAAGAAUCAUACAAUCAUCACGGUUGGAAAAGACCAGUAAGGUCAUCUAUUCCAAUGAUCACUGAUCACCACCACAUGCACAAAACCAUGUUCCUCAGAAUCAUUUAAGACGGAAAGAACUGAUUAGAUCAAGUCCAACCACCAGCUAACAUUACAAGUCUAUCUGGAUGAAGGCCAGAUCAGUGUUUGACAUCUGUGCCACACCAAGCCCCACUGUGGCAGCUCACCUCCCAACUUUCUUGUGUCUUGCAGCUACCGCAGCAAGGACAACGGGUUGGUGACUGAGACAGACCUGGGGGAAUGUGCACUUGAUCCCUAGUUGGGUGAAUUAAUCUCUGACAUGUUUUAUCCAUUCACUCAGAAGAAGAUAAGCACAUCUGAGAUAAGUAUUGGCUAUAUCAUCAAUGGGAACUUGCUCCUGGAAAAGCCUGGUGCAGUGAGGCUAUUCCAUGUGGUACGGAGGGACCCCAGCUACUCCCCCAUGAACAUCAUCUUGCUUUCUGCUGCAUUCCCGUUCAUCCCUG
ensembl:lncRNA